rnacentral:snoRNA from 1 species
UGUUAAGAUGAUGAUUCGUUAUUCACACUGUUUGAUCCCUCCUUCGGGUUGGAAAUGAACACUUUACACAAAAUCUGAUUUAAUGAGG